GCUAGGCCACGCCUCUUCGCCAACUGGCGGGAGCCGAAUCAUCCGGGCCAAUGAAGGGCCGAAAUUACCGGCUAAGCUCCACCUCCGGAGAAGGAGGACAGUAACAAGACAAACCCAAAUUGGCAAAUGGCAGCCUUCGUGUGCAAUCCAGUGGUACUAUUUUCAUGUCCUCUGGUGGAAGCAUGCCUCCCUUGAGUAAUAGAACUUGUGAAGAGCCAUGCUCAGAAUCUCAGAGACAUGAAGAUCAACAUUUAAGAGUCAGGGCUUCUUUCAUGGAAUUUGCCUUAUGGGUUGUCUGUGGGAACCUGCGCCGUGAUUUUGAUGCUCGUGUCAACCUGAAAGUGCCAACUUGAGAGCUCAAAGGAAUUAAUCAGCAAUUGGGAAACCCUUGACCAAGGAAGGAACCGAGCCGGUGAUUAAAUAUUCCCUCUUCCUUCCCUGGUUGGAUAGUUAUGAGGCACAGUCUACAGUGCUGAAGAAUAUCUCCAGCAGAAUCAAGACCCACAUGCCCAAAGCAGUGACCUUUUGGAUCAUUUGUCCUUGUAUUGGCUUUCCUGCUUUGCCUGUUUUACCCUUCCUAGUCUCUGACUCCUGCUCAUUAGAAUCUCUCCUGAGGAGCGCCUGGGUGGCU